rnacentral:rRNA from 1 species
AAUUAGAGUUUGAUCAUGGCUCAGAAUGAACGUUAGCGGCGCGCCUGAUGCAUGCAAGUCGAACGCCCAAGUCAUCCGCAAGGAAGACAAGGGAGUGGCGAACGGCUGAGUAACACGUAAGUAACCUACCUCUAAGUGGGGGAUAACUUGCCGAAAGGCAGGCUAAUUCCGCAUGUGCUGAUAAGCGAAUGUUUUUCAGUAAAGCUUUCGGGUGCUUGGAGAGGGGCUUGCGUCUGAUUAGCUAGUUGGUAGGGUAAUGGCCUACCAAGGCGAUGAUCAGUAGCUGGUCUGAGAGGACGACCAGCCAGACAGGGACUGAGACACGGCCCUGACUCCUACGGGAGGCAGCAGCAAGGAAUUUUGCGCAAUGGGCGAAAGCCUGACGCAGCGACGCCGCGUGGGGGAUGAAGGCCCUCGGGUUGUAAACCCCUUUUCCCGGGGAAGAAUUAUGACGGUACUCGGGGAAUAAGUCUUGGCUAACUACGUGCCAGCCGCCGCGGUAAUACA